UUUUAUGGAGAGUUUGAUCCUGGCUCAGGAUGAACGCUGGCGGCGUGCCUAAUACAUGCAAGUCGAGCGAACGGACGAGAAGCUUGCUUCUCUGAUGUUAGCGGCGGACGGGUGAGUAACACGUGGAUAACCUACCUAUAAGACUGGGAUAACUUCGGGAAACCGGAGCUAAUACCGGAUAAUAUUUUGAACCGCAUGGUUCAAAAGUGAAAGACGGUCUUGCUGUCACUUAUAGAUGGAUCCGCGCUGCAUUAGCUAGUUGGUAAGGUAACGGCUUACCAAGGCAACGAUGCAUAGCCGACCUGAGAGGGUGAUCGGCCACACUGGAACUGAGACACGGUCCAGACUCCUACGGGAGGCAGCAGUAGGGAAUCUUCCGCAAUGGGCGAAAGCCUGACGGAGCAACGCCGCGUGAGUGAUGAAGGUCUUCGGAUCGUAAAACUCUGUUAUUAGGGAA
rnacentral:rRNA from 1 species